UGGUGAGCGAUCGUGGCCCUGUAAUAGUUGCUUGUGAUUAGAAUCCUUUCGUGGGUGGUAUUAACUUUGGUUGAUGUCUCGUGGCUUAGCCUCCAUGGCUGUCUUCAAGGCAUGGAGAUUGCUCUUUGGAAUGAGGCCCUUCCACCCUUGGCUUCGCGAGCUGUCGCACGACAUUCUCGUUUCUAAGGCGGUGGAAUGAGAGCCUCAUGCUAUUUUGUCGCAAAUGUGGCCCUUUGAAAUCGGGUCUUGGUGUCGUGGCGCCUUGCCCAAGUUGUGAUUUAUCCAAGCGAUAAUGCCCUCAUCUUCGGUGCGACUCUGGUGCUUUCCCCCCUGUCAUAUGAUUGUAUGAUUGUGGUGGUGCGAGAUCAUGGUUGCGUUGAGGACGUGCUACCUGGUUGAUCCUGCCAGUAGUCA
rnacentral:misc_RNA from 1 species